rnacentral:rRNA from 1 species
CAGUCGCCGCGGUAAUACAGAGGGUGCGAGCGUUAAUCGGAUUUACUGGGCGUAAAGCGUGCGUAGGCGGCUAAUUGAGUCGGAUGUGAAAUCCCUGAGCUUAACUUAGGAAUUGCAUUCGAUACUGGGAAGCUAGAGUAUGGUAGAGGAUGGUAGAAUUCCAGGUGUAGCGGUGAAAUGCGUAGAGAUCUGGAGGAAUACCGAUGGCGAAGGCAGCCAUCUGGCCUAAUACUGACGCUGAGGUACGAAAGCAUGGGGAGCAAACAGGAUUAGAUACCCCAGUAGUCCCUGUCUCUUAUAA